rnacentral:rRNA from 1 species
GCAUAUCAAUAAGCGGAGGAAAAGAAACUAACAAGGAUUCCCUUAGUAACGGCGAGUGGAGCGGGAAGAGCUCAAAUUUGAAAUCUUCAAGGUUCUACCUUGACGAAUUGUAGUUUAAAGAAGUGUUUUCUGUUAGAUGAGUAGCAAAAGUUCCUUGGAAUGGGACAUCAUAGAGGGUGAGAAUCCCGUAUUUGGUUAUUCAUUCUAGCUUUGUGAUACACUUUCAAAGAGUCGGAUUGUUUGGGAAUGCAGUCCAAAAUGGGUGGUAAAUUUCAUCUAAAGCUAAAUAUUGGCGAGAGACCGAUAGCGAACAAGUACCGUGAGGGAAAGAUGAAAAGAACUUUGAAAAGAGAGUUAAACAGUACGUGAAAUUGUCAAAAGGGAAGCGUUUGACACCAGUGUUGUUUUUCCGAAAAUCAAUUACGAAUGGCUUGAUUUUGUGUUGUAUUGACCUUAUCAGCUUUCUUCACUUUUUUCGAGUCUUUCUUAAUGCACUUUUCGGUUAACAAGUCAACAUCAAUUUCUUUUGUUGUAAAAGGGUAUUCGGAAGGUGGCUUUCUUUUCGGAGAAAGUGUUUAUAGCCCUAUACUUCUACAAUCGGAGAGAUUGAGGUCUGCAGCGUAGAUCCUUCGGGGUUAGAUACACUUGUGCUAAGUUGUAGCUUUUCAUAGACAACUUGUUGACUAUGUUUAGUCAUGCGGCUUACUCGCUUGUGCUAUUUUACCUACGCUUAGGAUGUUGACAAAAUGGUUUUAAACGACCCGUCUUGAAACACGGACC